rnacentral:rRNA from 1 species
GGGGCUUAUCGGCUUACCGAAAUCAGCCAAACUCCGAAUGCUGGCAAGUGUAGCGUGGCAGUGAGACGGCGGGGGAUAAGCUUCGUCGUCGAGAGGGAAACAGCCCAGAUCAUCAGCUAAGGCCCCUAAGUGGUGACUCAGUGGGAAAGGAUGUGGAGUUGCGUAGACAACCAGGAGGUUGGCUUGGAAGCAGCCAUCCUUGAAAGAGUGCGUAAUAGCUCACUGGUCAAGUGAUUCCGCGCCGAUAAUGUAGCGGGGCUUAAGUUAUCCGCCGAAGCUGUGGCAACCUGUGUGGUUGGGUAGGGGAGCGUCGUGUCAGUGGUGAAGCUGCCGGGUGACUGUGUGGUGGAGUUGAUGCGAGUGAGAAUGCAGGCAUGAGUAGCGUGUGACGGGUGGGAAUCCCGUCCGCCGAUUAUCCAAGGGUUCCAGGGU